AUGUGUGUGCACUGUCUGUGCAAGAGCCGCGUCCGGUAUGUCUCCGCGGGUCUUGUGGUUGAGGCGCACGGAGUCCUCCUCCCCUGCCGUUCCGAGGACGCCGCCUCCUGCCCGGCACUCCCGGGCGCUGACACUACAUGGGGGCGGCCAGUCCUCAGGGUGCCAGGUAGCCGAGAGCUCCGCUCCAGGUGUCUGCCCGGCGCCACCCGUCUCCAGGGACGGAGUCCACGUCCCAGAACUCAUCCUCCUCCCAUGGGACCCUCUUACUCCCUUUUGUUGAUCAAGUCUUCGAACUUUGAAAAAAAAACAAAAAAAAAAAACGAGCUUUUGCCAAAUAAGACGGGAUAGUUUGUGGAGUUUUCCGAGGCACGUCGGACUCCGAGUUGCCCUCGAGCAUGGGCCUCGGCCGCGCAGGCCAGGCCACCUGGCUGCACUGGCCCCCAGGCUGCCUUUCUCUCCGUGGCCGGCCGGCCCCCACCGCCGCGGCCCACGCUGGUGCCGAGCCUGAGACUCACUCCUUGUUCGCCUGAGAUCCUCCCAGGGCCGCACCGGUCCUCCCCGGCUCUCCCUUCCAGGGCCGGGGACUCUCAUGGGGCCCACCCACCUCGGCUGCGUUCCUGGGCCUGGAGGCCUGUUGCCUCUGCUUCCCCAGACCUGAUCCGAGGCUUCUCCAGCCUCCACCCCGACUUCAGAGUCGUUCCAAGUCCUGGUGCCCUGACCAAGAUGGGGGAAGAGAGCAGGGCCCCGCGCAGGGCCGCCUCUCUCAAGCCCGCGGUUAGAUGGCUCCUCCCCCAGCUAUGAGUUCAGCCCUGGGGGUGAGGGCGCCAUCUUCCCCCCCUGAGGUCCCUAAUCUUGUCCCUGCUCUGACUCUGUCAGGCAGAUCCUGAACACUCCUUGGGGUGACCCCUGUCUCCAAGGCUUCCCCUAGCGCCAGCUGUCGGGGAACACCCCAGAACCCCUGGGGAAAGGCCUGAGAUGUGUGGAGGAAACCUCUGGGGCUCCUGGCCACCGCUCUGCCUCUGUCCCGGGCCUACUGCCUUCAGGUAUCAGGAGGAGAGGCAGGCCCCGCGCCCGUCUCCCUUCCAGGCAGGCCGGUAAUACUCAGUGGCGGUCUUCCUGUCCGCUCCGAGUCCCUCCAGACGUUGGAUGGGAGGAGCUGGCCUGUGGCUGGCGGGAGGCGGCAGCUGCUCCACCUCCCUGUACAGAGGCCGCCCGGGGUCCCAGGCCCUGGGCCUUCUCCUUCACGAGGAUCCCUCAGGAUCCACACAGCGACGGUAACAGCCUUCCACUCAGCCGGAGGAGGGUCGGGCUGUCCUGCCUGCCCCCAGCAGCAGCGUCUGCCCUUCCUGCUGCUUCCAAGGCCCCCGGAAGCACCGACUCACAUCUCACUUACCUCCUCUGGCCGGAAGCCUCGCCGCUGUCCUCCAGAGCUGCUCUGGGCCCAGGGCUGGCUCCGUGACUCCCGAUGGACGUGCCGGGCAGCCAGGGCCCCGCCCCUACCCCACUGCCCGGCGGCUGGGCCCAAGAGGGCUUUGGGGACGCUUCCAUAGGAAGGGGCCCGGCACUUUGUGAUUGCCGCGUGUUUUGUGUUACGCCGCCCGCCCCCAGUGCAAACCCCCGUGUUGCUCUCUCCUCAACAAAGUGUAAACCGACGCCAGAAAGCGAAUGGUAUCGAAUACCUUUCUUUGCCCACAAGGGUUUUUACAAAGAAUGUGUCUCUCUAGGAACUAGGACACUUCGGCCGAGACCAACUCCUGGAUAAAAGGAAUAAGGAGAAUCGUGUUUGUAACGAGUUACAGGAUUGUUUCUGUCCUGGAUUUUAAACUUUUUUGUUAAAUUGUGAAAUUAUGGAGGAGUUUUAUAGAAAAAAAAGUGAAAUAAAGUCAGAUGGGAAAGCAGA